UACGUAGGGGGCUAGCGUUGUCCGGAUUUAUUGGGCGUAAAGAGCUCGUAGGCGGUUCGGUAAGUCGGGUGUGAAAUCUCCACGCUCAACGUGGAGGGGCCACCCGAUACUGCCAUGACUCGAGUCCGGUAGGGGAGUGUGGAAUUCCUGGUGUAGCGGUGGAAUGCGCAGAUAUCAGGAGGAACACCGGUGGCGAAGGCGGGUCUCUGGGCAGUAACUGACGCUGAGGCGCGAAAGCUAGGGGAGCAAACGGG
rnacentral:rRNA from 1 species